GGAUGUGAGGGUGAUCUGGCUGUGACAUCUGUCACCCCAUUAAUGGCCAGCGUUGAUUUGGCUGAUCUGGCUGGCUAGGCGGGUGUCCCCUUCCUCCCUCACCACUCCAUGUGCAUCCUUCCUGAAGCUACAUACUGGGCCAAAGAAGAUGGUGUUCCCCAAAUAGAAACAAACUGGUCUUUGGUUGAUGGCAUGCAAGUAGCUGUGCUUCCCUGCUAGAACCUCCAAGCAAGCUCUUGAGGUCAAUAAAAAAGAGAGAGAAGCUGAAAAAUAGAACACAAAGCAGAACUUGUACUGGGUUU
rnacentral:snRNA from 1 species